UCCUCCCGGCACCCAGGAGCAUCUUUCAAAAAUUCCCGGUGGGCGGGGCCGAGCCGCAGCGGCCGCCUCUGGCCCCCCCUCCCCGGGCAGCCGGUGCCAGAUGAGAGCAGGAGACAAAAGUAGCAUUUUCCUCGUCCUCCUGGGCUGGCGGCAGAGCCUCCCCCAGCACCACUUGGCUCCUGGCGGCCCUGCCUCCGGGUGCCGGGGUGGCCGAGGCCCAGGCCGCGCCGGCCGGGACCGAGGGACCGACGGACGAGGGUGGCCAGAGAGCAGGACGCGUGGGGGCCCGUCGGAUCCGGGGCUGGCACCCGGGGCCGGCCUCCCGGUCGGCGGGGCCCGCCCUCCCCCUCCUGCCACCGUGCCCGGCCGGCCCAGGGGGCACCAGUUCCACUCCCUUGCUUCUGAGCAAGCUCCCCGUCCUCCUGCACCUUGGGUAAGUCACCUUCUUCCCUUCUCUUUUGCUGGAGACGAGCCGAGGGCUCUGCCAUCUUGUGCUCGGUGCCUGUUACGUUUCCUUCCCUCUAAUUGGUUAUCCGAAAUUCAAAAUUCUAUUUCCGACCCCCACCCCCCCCCCUCCACCCAACCGGUCUUCGGUGAAGUAAGCCUUUCUGAAACCUGCAGGGAAAAUGCAGAAGCCGGGCCCAUUUAUUUUUAAGAUCCAAAGCUAUAGGCUUUGGGAAUCACAAUAAAAAUGAAUGUUUGUUAGUUUACAGUAGCCGCGUGCUCGAUUGUAAUUGGAACGAAUGUUUCAGGAGGCAUUAAUAGGCACGGCCUACUCGUUCAUGCUCAGUGGGGUCGGUUCGUCGUGGGGGUCUCCUUACUAGUACUGUUAUUAUGAUUGUCUCGGUUUUUGGUGGUGCCAGGAGUGGCCGAGAGAAAAAACACCAAAGCGCCCUCGCUCCUCCCUGCAAACUCCUCGGCAGGCAGGGCUGGGCUGGCAUACGGGAGGGUGGGUUCUGCAUUGAGAAACAGAGGCCCUUUUAUUUUAUCCGGCAUCUUCAAUGCUGCCAUGUCCACAGUUUAGGGAUCCUGUUUUUUUUCUCCCUUUCGUUUCGUUUUAUUUCGGGUGAGGAGGGGAAGAAAAAGAAGGCCCUUUUCGGCCCUCAGCUCAGCAUGGGGAAAAUCUUUUAGGCUGGUUGGUGCUUUGUUUUUUAAACACUUAUUUAAGCCCGGGGAUUCCGCCUCACGGCGCUGCGCCCAGCUCAUGACCGCCCUGCCCACAGACGGUGCGUGGGGUGCACGUGGGCACGUCCACCAGACGGACCCUCGGGGGGCCUGAGUUGUCCAGGGCCGGCCUGGGCCGGAUCCCAUCCUGGUUUCCCAUCUGCAGAGCUGUAGGCCGAGCCACUCGACUGUCCGGGGCCUGAACCGUGGCCAGCGGGGGUGGGAGUCUCUGGAAGACCUUUGCGUCCCCAGGCCACGCUGCCGCCACGGUCCAAGAGCUGAACUCCGUGCUUGCCCGAGUUCCUGUGAUGGUCCCCGACCCUUCAGAACUGCUGAACCUUUUCAUUUAAAACGUGGGCUUUGCAGAGUUCAGCUGCGAAUCACCUCCAUCCUCUGGCAGGCUGACAGAAGUGCCCACAGAUGCAGCCUGGGUUCCCUCCCACCCCCCCCCCCAACGUUUGGGGGUAGCUGGGGUCUUGAUUUAUGGAAAAUGGAAAAUCAGGCCCAGAAAGUUCUAAAUUGCAACUGAGAAGAAACUUCCCACGUAAAUACAUCUUUGUUUUCCUAAUUCGGAGGCGUUGGGCCCUGUUUGCGUGGGUCUGAGCAGCCGGCCGGGGCAGACACGACCACGUAUAAAAGUGAGCUGAGCUCACACAAGGACUAUUACAGCUGCUUUUGUUCUUAGAUUAGACAGCAGUCGAUACGGGAGGUUUGGGGCUGUAGAGACAGGCGUAUAUAGCAGAGAUCAUUAAAACAUUUCCACGAUUGUGAGCGUAGAACGCGACGUUCUGCUGCUACAAGCCGGAGGGUCAUUCCACACGAAUAUUUAGCAAGCACCAAAUUAGACACCGGCGACAAAAUACGAGUCAUAGGAAAAAACCAGAGUGUCAUAAAUUCUGACGCGAAAGAGUCGAGAGUGGAGAGAGGUGGGUCGGGGGGAAGGAGGGGCCGUCGUUUUUAAAGAAUUUAUGCUUUUGAUAGUUGCCCACGCCUCAUCUCCCAAAAUUUUAUUUUUUGGUGUAAUCAGUGUAGGUAAAUAGGCCUGGAAUCCCAAGUCCUGGAAUGACAGUCUGAUUUCCUUGAACAUGACUUCAUCUCCUUUUUGGAAGUAAGGGCAAGUAGCAUAAAAUCAAUUAAUUUCCGCAGAUGAGCAUUUUCAUCCUGAGUUAGUAUUUUCCACCGAGAUUCUGUUCACCUAAAGGUUGUCACGUAUACGCAUAACACGUUUUCCAGCAGAGUGGGGUGGUUAUGCGUAAUCGGUGACCAUCUUUGUUUUUUCAACUUGGGUAAUAACAUUCUGCCUCCUCCCCCCAUCCCCAAGUCAGGAAAAUGCCAUGGAAUCUUUUGUGUCCUGAAUCAGGCAAAAUAUCAGCCUUCUUCACAGCACCCAUUUCUUCUUGGCUGUUUUUUUUUUUGUUGUUGUUGUUUUUUGUGUUUUUUUUUUUUGUGUUUUUUUUUUUUUUUUCCUUUGGGAAAGUACCACACAGAGCAGUCAGUGUUCCUAUCAUCGCUUCUAUAUAAAUUCCACUAUAGGCUGAAAUUAUACAUUCUCACAACACAGAUGGGCUGGUCUGUCAUUACGACUGCUGGGUCCUUGUUGGAACACACAGCAUAUUUCAAUUGUGGAGUCGACAAUUUCAAAGAACUGAGGUCAAAAUAAACAAGUUGCACUUGUGUGGUGAAACGGUGCCCUGAGCAAUUCGGUAGAGGAAACACCCGCACCGUCAUUAGAUGAUAAUUUAAAUUUUGGUCUUUGUCUUUGCCUUUUAAGACUCCGAAUGCCCUACGUUAACGGACCUUAAGUGCUUUAAUUAAUUACCAAUUUUUAUUUUGUGUGGCAGCGUGAACAGGGUUAACGCUAGAUUAAAAUUCAAAAUUACGGGGUUUGGGACUUUAGAUUUUGAGAUCUUCAUGAAAUCUCUAGCUGUUCUGUAUAGGCUGACAUAAAUUUAUUUGGGGAUGUUUAUGAAAAAUCACAUAAUAAAUAUUUUGCCUGGUUUAAAGUUACAUUUAAAUCCCUCCCCACCCCCCAAAAAACAUUCAACAGGUGAACUGCAAAGAGUAGCUGUAAACUCGAAAAAAAAAAAAAAUAAUAAUAAUCUCACCAAGAUAACGAGGUGCAGAAUUCAUUGGCCAUCAGCGCACGUGAGGACAGAGAAGUUUUACGGCCACCGUAAUUUGAAAACGGUGACUGUUUAUUUUGUGAAUUUGCUCACGUUAUGAUGUAAUCGGUUCUGAGGGUUCUUCCCCACGCCCCCCGCCCCCGCCUCAUUUUCCAGUGACUGCUUCUGCUUUUUCCGAAUUUUGGGUUCAGGCUCUGCCCUUCCCAGCCGCUGAGGCCGCCCUCCCUCGCUGCCGAACCUGAACGAGAGAGACACGGGUGCUUCCUUCCGCCGUCUUCUGCGGGCUCCCCGAGGCUCCUUCCAUUCGUUAAUAGAAGUGCUUUGUUGUGGCUUGUUUAUUUCAAGGAAAAGUACCUGUUGGUGGAGGUGUUGGGAAAUAACAGGAAGAGUGAAAAGCGGAUGAAAUUUGCCGGAGCUCCUUGGGAGCCGCUUCCUCUAGCGAUUCUGCUCCCACCCCUUCCUGCGUUCCCGUUUGGUCUUUUAGCCUGUCCACCCCUGUGCCCGCAUCAGACCCGUAUUUGCCAGCAGCUCCGAGAACGUGGCUGACGCUGCCCUGGGUGCUCUUAAAGGUCGGCAAGGCAGAGCAGCCCCUGCCCUGCGAUUCAACGGCAGAGAAGCGAGGGUGAUGGUGGUUGUACUGGGAGCAGUGCGCGUCCGGGGCGCCCGCACCACGCUGGGCACCUUUCCCGUUCGAGAAAGCAGAGUACAGAGGAGCGUGAGCUCUGGGCCUGAGGCUGGGGCUCAGACCCAGUCGGUUUCGUUUCCCGGCUGUGUUGAUCCAAGGCAAGACAUUUCGUCUCUCCGUGGCCCCGUUUCGUCUCUCCGUGGCCCCGUUUCCUCCUCUGAAAAAUGGGCGCAGUAAAGUGUCCCCGCCUCGGAGGAACACGCACAGUGCACGCUUAGCACGGCGCUCGGCUCACAGAGAGCACCCCAUACCUGCUGGCAGUCCUUGGUUUAUUUCUGAGUCUCAGAAAUGCCUGCCGGGUGGGGGUUCUCACCGGCUCCAUUCAGCCAGGGGAGGCGCUGGGCCCGAAGCGGAGCCCUCGCGUUCAACUAGCCGGUGAAGAUUGGGAUGGGGUUCCACCCAGGCCCGCCGUCCUCCAAAGCCCAUGUUCGUUCUGCAGGUCCCCACGGUGGUCAGGUGGGGACCGCAAGCCUUUGCCGGUGUGUGCAGGUAACACACACACACGUGUCCUGUGCACGUGACGCACGUGCGCACACGUGUCCUGCCAUGCAACCCACGUGCCUGCACGUGUCCUGUGUGUAACGCACAAGCACACGGCGUCCGGUGCACGUAACACGUGUGUGCACACGCGUGUCCUGUGCCUGCAACACCAUGCACACGCGUGUCAUACGCAUGUAACGCACGCGCGCACACAUACACGGUCCUGUGCUUCUCUUGGUAUGUCGGUGGUUUCCGGAGGUGGGCUGGCCUUUGGAGGCACCGUGUCUCCUCGAGGCAGGCGCUCUUCGUGGCUUCUCAGUGAGCCAUGGAGCCCGUGGGCCACCCCCGGGGACACCUGCCAGGCGCUGCACUGCCCCACCGCGAUGGGUCAUUGUCCCCAGCCCGGGGCGCCCACCCGGCUCCCGGGAGGUGAAGGAAGGAAGCCCUUUGGCCGGGCUGGCUGCACUCUGGGACCUGGCCCGGCAGGGCACGGGCUCUUCCGAGGGACAGGCUGUUCCGGGCACCGGCCAUUUGCAGACUCCGAGGAGUGGAAGUGAGCCUCCCGGCCCGCGAGAGGAAAUGGCGGCACGGGCAGGCCCAGCACAGGAUCCGGGAAGGCGGCCGAGGGAGGGGAGAGGCCGGAAGGCCCAGGGGUGGGCCUGUUGGCGCGCUGGCGGCCCUCCCGAAAGAAAUGGCCGGCGGGGCUGGUCUUCCCUGGGCGGGUCUGCGUGUGUCCGUGUGUGUGCACCUGAGUGCGGGCUCGGGCCGCCCGGGGGCCACACCGAGAAGGUCUACGGGCCCAGCUGCCCCACGGGUACCGUGGUGGGGACUGGGGGGAUUUGAUGAGGCCGCCUGCGCGGCCUGCGCACCUCCGGACACAAGAGGCCUCGAGGAGGAUGAUUCUUACUGCAGGCCUUGGUUGUCUUUAAAGCGGAUGAGACCGCAUCAGACUCGGGAGACGGUCCGCGGUGGCAGGUGAGAGCCAAAAAGUUGCUUUGUAUUUCCCCUCUUUGGGGCCUCUUAGGUGGAGACCAGAGGCCUGGGUUCUCAGGUGAGCCAGCCUCAGUUUCCCCAUCUGUAAAGCAAGGGGACGAACCCUCCCCGCAGGUUGCCGGGGGCAUCCAGUGUGAUGAUGGCACCUGCCGUUUCUCCCCUUGAUGGGGAGCGGUGGCGGGUGGGCCCUGGGGAAAGGGCCCCCGGCCUCGGGGCCCCGCGCCCCGGGCCGGAUGGGAGACCCCAGAAGGGAGCAGCGGUGGGGGCCGCGGGGACUGGGCUGCUCCAGCGUGUGCGAGGGAGCCUCUGGCCCAGUUUCCUGGGAGCCCGGCCCUGCCCCGGGAUUCCUGCAGUGGGUGUGCCCACACUUCCGGCCCAGGCGUGGGCGGAGGGGUCCUGGAGGCAGACGCGGUUCCUGCUGUUCCCUCCCGCCACAGCCGCCUGGUCGGGCAGCUGCUUUCCGCUCAGCAGGACGAGGGCUCCCACCUGAGCCCGCCGUGGAGGGUCCAGGCAGGCGGCCCCCCGCCCGCCGGCCGUGCCCAGGCACAUGUGACGUGGCGGCGGCGGCCCGGGGCGGUGGCAGCGGGACGUAGGGGCUUCUGCGGGGUGGAGAAGGUGCCCUCCAGCUCGAGCCCUCGCGGUUGCGGUCACGCAAACAGGAAGGAGUCAUGGAAUUUGACCGGAGAUGGCUGUCGGAGAGCCAGCGGGAGCCCAUGGACCCAGGGCUCGGGAAGGCCUGGCAUGGCUGCGGACAGCCGGGGGCCUGGGCAGCUGUGCCCGUGGGCUCCCCCUGGCAUCUGCAGGGUGGCAGCGACCUGGCUGUGAAUGCGGCGAGCGGAGGCAUGAAACGUGCCCGUGACAGAAUCCAGAGGGCUCUGGAAAACUACCCGAGAGGCUUCCGGAGGUCAGAAAUGUGGGCAGAAAAUGAGAUCCAGAUUUAAAAAAAAAAAAAACAAAAACCUGGCUGGCUCAUCCCCCUGGGAGAGAGGCCUGGGAGAACACUGCUGCCUGCUGACUUUGAAAUGCUUGCCCAGGGCUGGUCCACGGCAGCACCCCCCAGCCCCAGCCUGACGUCCUGGUGAAGGUGCUGCCUUCCCCUCCACCUCUCAGGAGCCGGGAGUUUUACCGAAGAUGAUGGGGGACAACUUGAGGACUUUGGCCGGACCUGCCUCCUGCUGGGCCCUGCCACCGUCAUCUGGGGACGCUUUCCAGCUUACAAGCUUACGUACAAGGAGCAGAACCUCAGAAGCGACAGACCUUCGCAGCAGCUAGGAAUGAUUGGGGCAAAUUGCUUUCCUCCCCGGGCCUCAGUGUUCUCGUCUGUGAAAUGGGGAUAGGAACACAAACCUGCAGGCACAUGGGAAUUAGGCGAGAUUUGGGGUCGGCCUGGACGCACGGUGGAUGGCGACAUCAGAACCCCGCCCACCCCGGCAUCCUCACCACGAACGAAGCAGGCUGCACCUUCUAGAUUGCCACAUGCCCUGGGGAGGCUGACACCCGCCCAGCCUGGCCCCAGGGAAAGGUGUUUCGCAAGGUCGCCUGGAGCUGUUUCGCAAGGUCGCCGGUAUAGCUGGCCCUCUUCUUCGCGUUGGGCCUGCCUCCCCGGGGAAGCCCGAGGCCGCCUGGGUUUGCCAACAGAUCUUGGUGGCGGGAGAAGCAGCCGACACCGGGAAUGUCAUCACCGCAGCUCAGAGGAUGGGCCUGGUGGCGUUUUCAGCUUGCUUUCCUGGGCCGGAGUGACUCGGGUUGGAGCAACCGCACCCCAGUGGCCUCCACCCUUGUGCAUCCCAGCCCGCCCUCCCUCCGUGGAAGUAGGCCGCGAGAAGCAGGCUGUGGCGUGGCUGAGGUUGAUUUAGACAUGCGGGGAGACUGGGAUAAUGUAGGAAAUGAAGGAAAUUUCCCCAGGGAAAGGGGGAAGAGAAGAGAGAGGAGCUUAAGUGCCUCGAUAAUUAUAAAGCAUGGCGUGGUGAUUUAUGGCCA